CCCUCCAAGGAUGAUUAAAAAAAUAACUUUCGUUCUUCUGAGUUAUCUAUGUGGAAAAUUAUUGGAGACCUGAACUGAGGAAGGU
rnacentral:snoRNA from 2 species